AACAGGAUUAGAUACCCUGGUAGUCCACGCCGUAAACGAUGUCGACUUGGAGGUUGUGCCCUUGAGGCGUGGCUUCCGGAGCUAACGCGUUAAGUCGACCGCCUGGGGAGUACGGCCGCAAGGUUAAAACUCAAAUGAAUUGACGGGGGCCCGCACAAGCGGUGGAGCAUGUGGUUUAGUUCGAUGCAACGCGAAGAACCUUACCUACUCUUGACAUCCAGAGAACUUCCCAGAGAUGGAUUGGUGCCUUCGGGAACUCUGAGACAGGUGCUGCAUGGCUGUCGUCAGCUCGUGUUGUGAAAUGUUGGGUUAAGUCCCGCAACGAGCGCGACCCUUAUCCUUUGUUGCCAGCGGUCCGGCCGGGAACUCAAAGGAGACUGCCAGUGAUAAACUGGAGGAAGGUGGGGAUGACGUCAAGUCAUCAUGGCCCUUACGAGUAGGGCUACACACGUGCUACAAUGGCGCAUACAAAGAGAAGCGACCUCGCGAGAGCAAGCGGACCUCAUAAAGUGCGUCGUAGUCCGGAUUGGAGUCUGCAACUCGACUCCAUGAAGUCGGAAUCGCUAGUAAUCGUGGAUCAGAAUGCCACGGUGAAUACGUUCCCGGGCCUUGUACACACCGCCCGUCACACCAUGGGAGUGGGUUGCAAAAGAAGUAGGUAGCUUAACCUUCGGGAGGGCGCUUACCACUUUGUGAUUCAUGACUGGGGUGAAGUCGUAACAAGGUAACC
rnacentral:rRNA from 1 species